GAUGAACGCUGGCGGCGUGCCUAAUACAUGCAAGUCGAACGAAACUUCUUUAUCACCGAGUGCUUGCACUCACCGAUAAAGAGUUGAGUGGCGAACGGGUGAGUAACACGUGGGCAACCUGCCCAAAAGAGGGGGAUAACACUUGGAAACAGGUGCUAAUACCGCAUAACCAUAGUUACCGCAUGGUAACUAUGUAAAAGGUGGCUAUACUACCGCUUUUGGAUGGGCCCGCGGCGCAUUAGCUAGUUGGUAGGGUAAAGGCUUACCAAGGCAAUGAUGCGUAGCCGAAUUGAGAGGUUGAUCGGCCACAUUGGGACUGAGACACGGCCCAAACUCCUACGGGAGGCAGCAGUAGGGAAUCUUCCGCAGUGGGCGAAAGCCUGAUGGAGCAACGCCGCGUGGGUGAAGAAGGUCUUCGGAUCGUAAAACCCUGUUGUUAGAGAAGAAAGUGCGUGAGAGUAACUGUUCACGUUUCGACGGUAUCUAACCAGAAAGCCACGGCUAACUACGUG
rnacentral:rRNA from 1 species